UUUUAUUUUUAUGAUAACUCAAAUGCAAAUACAUAGAUAAUCGGCUAAUCAUUCGGUGAUAAAGUCCUCUGGAUACUGGAAGAUGGUAGAUUGACAAUUAAUUAAUGAAUUAAUACAUUAAGUUGAUAAAUCCUCCUGCAUCAGCCUUCAUGCUUUAUAUGUACGAAUCGAUUGCUUAGAACUACAAAAUGCUUAGCUUUAAUUUUGCUAUGUAUUAAUUGUAAUUAAAUAUUUCCUCUUCCUUACAUAUGUAAAUACCAAAAAGACAAGCUUGCAAUGUAAACCCCGCAAGUUGUCAUAUAUAUAUGGCUUAUGCACAUCUCUAGAAUGGGUGAGGCCCUAACAAUUGCCCAGUAAAGAACCUCUCUUACCUAAAGAAGAUGAAAAAGAUCGUUUUUGAUAUGGUGAAGCCCUUUUUGAUAUGGUAGCCUUCGGACUGUAGCACUUGUGGCUAUCUAAAACCCCAGCAUAGCUCUUGAAUGACUUUAUUUUAGAUCUGUAUGGAGUCACAGUGGUCACUUUCUUUGCAAGAUCUUCUAUGCUCCUCACACUUGCUAGAGAUGUAUAAGACUGAGAUUUCCCUUCAUAAAACUUUGAAAGGCCUCUCCUGCAAAAAUUUAAAUUCAUUAUUAGAGGCUUUUGCUAAAUUAUUAUUACUAUUUUCAUUAAAAGAACAAUAACCUUUCUUUAUUAUUUUAUGCUUACUUGAUGGGAAGUUGGGCCACGAGCUCUGAUAAUUCAUAUAGAGGUCCAUUCGCAUGUGAUGUCGAUGAUGAUGAUGAUGAUGAUGCUGCAGAAGAUGCAUCUUCUAAUAAAUCUAUUGAAGAAGAAGAAGAAGCCGCUGAGUUUGUUGAAUCUUCCAUGGAUGAUUCAUCAUACUCACAAGCACCAAAACCACCUUUCAUGGCUACCCAGCUAGGAUCUUGCUGCAGUUCUCCAUUAGGGUUUAUCUUCUGCAAAGUCACAUCCAAAAAAUUUUGCUUUGCAGCUGCUUCAGCCAUUCUGAUGAUCACGAGCAACAGGAAAGAGAGAAGAAGAAGAAGAAGAGAAUAUAUAGAAGAUGAUGUUGCUGAAGACUUCUUAUCUAGCUAUGUGGUUUUUUCUUAGGAGGCAUAUAUAUACAUGCUAUGAAUAAUAUAAUGGCAAAUAUUAUCUUGUAGAAGAAAAGGGUAUUGAUUAUUUUCCUUGAAUUUUUUA
rnacentral:misc_RNA from 1 species